rnacentral:rRNA from 1 species
GACGAACGCUGGCGGCGCGCCUAACACAUGCAAGUCGAACGAGUGAGAGAGAGCUUGCUUUCUCGAGCGAGUGGCGAACGGGUGAGUAACGCGUGAGGAACCUGCCUCAAAGAGGGGGACAACAGUUGGAAACGACUGCUAAUACCGCAUAAGCCCACGGUGCCGCAUGGCACAGAGGGAAAAGGAGCAAUCCGCUUUGAGAUGGCCUCGCGUCCGAUUAGCUAGUUGGUGAGGUAACGGCCCACCAGGGCAACGAUCGGUAGCCGGACUGAGAGGUUGAACGGCCACAUUGGGACUGAGACACGGCCCAGACUCCUACGGGAGGCAGCAGUGGGGAAUAUUGCACAAUGGGGGAAACCCUGAUGCAGCGACGCCGCGUGGAGGAAGAAGGUCUUCGGAUUGUAAACUCCUGUUGUUGGGGAAGAUAAUGACGGUACCCAACAAGGAAGUGACGGCUAACUACGUGCCAGCAGCCGCGGUAAAACGUAGGUCACAAGCGUUGUCCGGAAUUACUGGGUGUAAAGGGAGCGCAGGCGGGAAGACAAGUUGGAAGUGAAAUCUAUGGGCUCAACCCAUAAACUGCUUUCAAAACUGUUUUUCUUGAGUAGUGCAGAGGUAGGCGGAAUUCCCGGUGUAGCGGUGGAAUGCGUAGAUAUCGGGAGGAACACCAGUGGCGAAGGCGGCCUACUGGGCACCAACUGACGCUGAGGCUCGAAAGUGUGGGUAGCAAACAGGAUUAGAUACCCUGGUAGUCCACACCGUAAACGAUGAUUACUAGGUGUUGGAGGAUUGACCCCUUCAGUGCCGCAGUUAACACAAUAAGUAAUCCACCUGGGGAGUACGACCGCAAGGUUGAAACUCAAAGGAAUUGACGGGGGCCCGCACAAGCAGUGGAGUAUGUGGUUUAAUUCGACGCAACGCGAAGAACCUUACCAAGUCUUGACAUCCCUUGACAGGCAUAGAAAUAUGUAUUCUCUUCGGAGCAAGGAGACAGGUGGUGCAUGGUUGUCGUCAGCUCGUGUCGUGAGAUGUUGGGUUAAGUCCCGCAACGAGCGCAACCCUUAUGGUCAGUUACUACGCAAGAGGACUCUGGCCAGACUGCCGUUGACAAAACGGAGGAAGGUGGGGAUGACGUCAAAUCAUCAUGCCCUUUAUGACUUGGGCUACACACGUACUACAAUGGCGUUAAACAAAGAGAAGCAAGACCGCGAGGUGGAGCAAAACUCAGAAACAACGUCCCAGUUCGGACUGCAGGCUGCAACUCGCCUGCACGAAGUCGGAAUUGCUAGUAAUCGUGGAUCAGCAUGCCACGGUGAAUACGUUCCCGGGCCUU